CCUACGGGAGGCAGCAGUGAGGAAUAUUGGUCAAUGGACGAGAGUCUGAACCAGCCAAGUAGCGUGAAGGAUGACUGCCCUAUGGGUUGUAAACUUCUUUUAUAAAGGAAUAAAACGAGGCACGUGUGCCUUUUUGCAUGUACUUUAUGAAUAAGGAUCGGCUAACUCCGUGCCAGCAGCCGCGGUAAUACGGAGGAGCCGAGCGUUAUCCGGAUUUAUUGGGUUUAAAGGGAGCGUAGAUGGGUUGUUAAGUCAGUUGUGAAAGGUUGCGGCUCAACCGUAAAAUUGCAAUUGAUACUGGCAGUCUUGAGUACAGUUGAGGUAGGCGGAAUUCGUGGUGUAGCGGUGAAAUGCUUAGAUAUCACGAAGAACCCCGAUUGCGAAGGCAGCUUACUAAACUGUGACUGACAUUGAUGCUCGAAAGUGUGGGUAUCAAACAGGAUUAGAUACCCUGGUAGUC
rnacentral:rRNA from 1 species